UACGUAGGGUGCAAGCGUUAAUCGGAAUUACUGGGCGUAAAGCGUGCGUAGACGGUUAUGUAAGUCGGGUGUGAAAGCCCCGGGCUCAACCUGGGAAUUGCAUUCGAGACUGCAUAGCUAGGGUGCGGAAGAGGGAAGCGGAAUUUCCGGUGUAGCGGUGAAAUGCGUAGAUAUCGGAAGGAACACCAGUGGCGAAAGCGGCUUCCUGGUCCAGCACCGACGUUCAGGCACGAAAGCGUGGGGAGCAAACAGG
rnacentral:rRNA from 1 species